CGUCAUCUCCGGCACAUCCAUGUCCUGCCCUCAUGUGUGAUGUCUGUGUAAGUAUAUGUGUAUUGUGUGAUGUAUAUUGAGUAAAAGAAAAAGAGAAAAUAAAUUAAAAUUUUGGUGGGACCCACCACCACACCCAAAAAGGGUUUGAGACCACAAUUGGUGUCCAUUUUUCUUCUCUCCCGCUGGCCCUUCCUUUUGUCUCUAUUUCUUGAUUUUUUUUUUUCUUUUUGAACUCAAACUUCAUUCUUAGAUUACUCCUCCACCUUUUGUCGGAUUGAGGUGCCGUUUGAGGCAAAACGAAGCUCGUGUCAAGCUCUACACAUCCAUACAAGCAAUUUUAGAUUUUGCGCCCCUUUGGAUUUCGAAUCUUGAGACCCAUUUUCUAGGGUUUUGGUACAAUCUUGAGGUCUUGGAAAAAAACCGGUGAACGACAACCCACCUUAAGCUUGAGCGAUACUAGAAGCUCACUUCUGUGUCUUUUGUAUAUCUCCCAUUAUUUUUGCAAAGCACUAAAAGAGUGAAGGUGUAUAUGUAUAUUUUGUAAAACUUUGUCAUGUAAUGUAAUUAAGGCAUUUGAUGAUAUUUUGGAUGUGAAUUUGAUAACAUGUAAACCUUAUUGAUGAAUGGGGAGAGUAAUACUAGUUUGAAGUAUUAUUGAGGUCA